UACGGGGGGAGCAAGCGUUGUUCGGAUUUACUGGGCGUAAAGGGCGCGUAGGCGGUCAGCACAAGUCAGUUGUGAAAUCUCCGGGCUUAACUCGGAAAGGUCAACUGAUACUGUGCGACUAGAGUGCGGAAGGGGCAACUGGAAUUCUCGGUGUAGCGGUGAAAUGCGUAGAUAUCGAGAGGAACACCUGCGGCGAAGGCGGGUUGCUGGGCCGACACUGACGCUGAGGAGCGAAAGCUGGGGGAGCGAACAGG
rnacentral:rRNA from 1 species